rnacentral:rRNA from 1 species
GCUACGGGUGGCAGCAGUGAGGAAUAUUGGUCAAUGGCCGAGAGGCUGAACCAGCCAAGUCGCGUGAGGGAUGACGGCCCUACGGGUUGUAAACCUCUUUUGUCGGGGAGCAAAGAGAGUCACGUGUGGCUCAUUGAGAGUACCCGAAGAAAAAGCAUCGGCUAACUCCGUGCCAGCAGCCGCGGUAAUACGGAGGAUGCGGGGGUUAUCCGGAUUUAGUGGGUUUAAAGGGUGCGCAGGCGGAGGUGCAAGUCAGUGGUCAAAUUGCGGGGCUAAACCCAGGACUGCCGUUGAAACUGGAUGCCUUGAGUGCGCGAGAGGUAUGCGGAAUGCGUGGUGUAGCGGUGAAAUGCAUAGAUAUCACGCAGAACUCCGAUUGCGAAGGCAGCAUACCGGCGCGCAACUGACGCUCAUGCACGAAAGCGUGGGUAUCGAACAGGAUUAGAUACCCUGGUAGUC